rnacentral:rRNA from 1 species
GACGAACGCUGGCGGCGUGCUUAACACAUGCAAGUCGAACGGAAAGGCCCCUUUGGGGGUCCUCGAGUGGCGAACGGGUGAGUAACACGUGAGUAACCUGCCCUUGACUUCGGGAUUACUUCAGGAAACUGGGGCCAAUACCGGAUAGGAAUCCUUGCUGCAUGGUGGGGGUUGGAAAGCUUCGGCGGUUUUGGAUGGACUGGCGGCUUAUCAGCUUGUUGGUGGGGUAGUGGCUUACCAAGGCUUUGAAGGGUAGCAGGACUGAGAGGGCGACCGGCCACAUUGGGACUGAGGGGCGGCAGAGACUCCUACGGGAGGCAGAAGUGGGAAAGAUUGCACAAUGGGCGGAGGCCGGAUGCAGCAAGGCCGCGGGCGGGAUGACGGCCUUAGGGUUGAAAAACGCUUUCAGCAGGAGCGAAGCUUGUGGUGACGGUACCUGCAGAAGAAGCACCGGCUAACUACGUG